rnacentral:lncRNA from 1 species
AUGCCCCCAAUGGCACCAAUCCCAACUCCCAUUCCAGCCCCUCUACCGCCUCUCCCUUUACCCCCUCUUCCUUUGGGAGUGUCCCCCCCUCUCGUCUCAACUGCACCCCCACCUCUUCCACAGCCCAUUGCGAAUGGCGCUCCCCCCACAGCCCUGAUGCCACCACUCUCAGGCUUUUCCCUCCCAGCUCCAACCUCAUUUAACCGCUCCAGCUCCAAGCUGCAGAAAGGUUCGUCGCUGGACACUGCUAGGUAGGUAAUGAAGAAGAAGAAGAAGAAGUAUACCAUUUCUGCCCGAAUCUUACCCUUACUGGUUUUCUGACGCGUCAGCGGCGUCUUGUUUCAAUGUCAAGUCAAUGUGCAGAGGUUCUGCAGCGCUUUGGGCGUCAGGCGUGGCACAUCGGCCUGGCAGCAGCACAUUUUGGGUGUUGCGACAGAAAUGCAGCUUUACGGUGUCAGACAGUAAAUAAAAGGCGUAUUCAUUGUUGUCCCAAAUAAACCUUUUCUGAUCCUUAAGACCAAGAAUUGACAGAAAGCACAGAAACGGUAAAACUAAAGGCCUUGACAAACUUUUAUGAAGCACAGUGAGGAUCAAAAGUUUGGGCCCCCAGGUAAAAAUGUUUAUUAUUGUCCUUAAAGGAGCCAAGGAAAGAUGGAAAGAUCUUCAAAAGGCAUGAGAUUACAGAUGAGACAUUCUUGUAAAUUAGAUUUUAUUUCCAUCAUUUUUCCCUUUCAAAAUAACAGAAAACAAAAUAAGGGUGUGUGCAAAAGUUUGGGUACACUGCAGAAUUAGUACCUUGUACUGCUGCCCCUGGGAAGUAUAGGAAGAAGAAAUGUGAAGACUUCUUUUGUAGCCAGUCGAGACUCUCUCAGGUCUUGAAUCUUUGAGUCUGUUUUCUGUCAUGAAUGAGUGUCCAUGUGAAAUGACUUUCAGUUGCUAAAGAUGACUUUCAGGCAGCAGACUGGAGGAGAGUGAGAAGAACAGAGACUUUUAGUUGAUUCAUUUAGCCAAAUCUCAGGCAUCAUUUCCCUCACAGAAACAGGUUUACAUCAAAACGUAGGUCUUUUUCCUGGCUUUCAGACAACCCAACUCUGAAAAUCCUUACAGCGGCCCCAAAUAUCAGCAACGGAUUACGAGUUCUCUCAUUGACCCCAAUGCGUUUUUGGUGGAUAAAAAAAGUUUGUUUUUAUCUUGUGAUUACUGCUGAGCAUAUAACCUUUACUCUGAGGAAAAUGGCUAAAAGAUGCAACCUUUAGUUGAAGCAAAGUGCAAAUCUACAUUUUUAAGGGGAGCAAGGAUGUGUCUCCGUCUGCCUGCUCGUUUCCAUGACAGCUUUGGAACCCUCCAUCUGCACACGCAUCUUCUGGCUUCUGAAACUGUAAAAGACACUAUGAGCUUUUCUUUCCACUGUUUGCUGUAAAUUCAUUACAAAUCCACCUAAUUACACACGUCUGACCUGAAUUCAGUUUGUAUGAGUUGAUUCAAAUAAAUUAGCAAUAAGCCUUUGUAUUAGCAUUAUUCUAGCAAAUUGUGCUUAACUUACUUCUUUAACCGUUUGUUUUAGUUUAUUUGACAUUUAGCUGUUAUAUUAGCAUUGUGCUAGCUCAUUUGGCCAGUAGUGUGGCAGUUGCUCUAGGCAACUACUGGCAUAUACUGAGGUUUUCUAGUCUAAUUUGGAGUGUUGCUAAUAUCUGAGCAAGCUAUCAGCUUUAGCCUUUUAAGCUAACAGAUCCAGCAGGUAUCCAACUGGUAUCUGAAAAGGCUUUUCUAUCUUCCUCUAGCCUUCUCCUGCUUUGUGAACUUCAUAUCAUUUUGGUUUCAGUGUUCUAGACAACUGCUUGGAAGGACCCAUUGGGGCAAAGGUCAGAUGACUCAGAUUAUUUCAAAUCUUUGAGAUUGAA